UUUUUUUUAGUUUAAAGUCCUCUAACCUUUGCUACAUCAUUCCAGUCAGUCUUGAGCAUGUGUGGUUCAGGAGUUGGGCUGAGGUGCAUAUGGAUUAAUAUAGAAUUAGAAGAUUCCUUCAAGGAUUCAACUUUCUUUCUUCCGGAGUUUCUUUUUCAUUCUGGCCCUUUCUCUGUCUAAUAAAAUUUCCAAGUAUCUAUUGCUCUUUAAGUACUUGCCACCAGCUGCUCUGAAUUGUAGCUCAUCUCUGAUGUAAAGACACAAAAGGACAAAACCAUUGGGAAGUUUUUCCCCUAAGGGCUGCUUCACCAAGUUUUGACUCCCAUUCAGAGUGCCUGCUUUUGUUUACUCCUCAGAAUCCUCAUGCAGUUGAUUUUUUUAGUAACUUUUCAGUUCGUUAUUGUUAUAAACAGAAGGGGCUUCUACCAUCAUAACACAAUCACAGCUCUGUAUGGAUUUUUAGUAUAUUCUUAGUGGGAGAUAGCACAGCAUGUUUAUGUGCUGGUGUGAAUGAUUCAGUAGAGGGGGAACAGUGGAUACAGAAAAACCAGGAGUCAUUGAAAGAAUGAAACCCUUGGGAAGGUAAAAGUGGAUGAAAUACAGAACAUAAGUACUUAAAAUGAACUUAAAGGAGGGCACGUCCAUCAUUAAAAACAAAGGGAAGACUGGUGUAUGUGAUUCUAUGUGUUUGGUCAUAUGAAAAUGAGGGAAGGUUUCAAGUCUUUUCUAUUUUCAAAGAAGGUGAAGUUCUUAAGUCCAGAGUGAAGGGGUGAAAGCUCAAUUUAUUUAAUUGAAUU
rnacentral:lncRNA from 1 species